GCCGCGUGCCGUUCUGCCGCUCCUGCCUUGUGCAGGGGAGGAAAGUCCGGACAACGCAGAGCGCCAUACUUCCUAACGGGAAGGUCCCGCGCAAGCGGGAACAGCGAGUGCCACAGAAAACAACCGCCUAAGCCCUGUUCGCAGGGCCGGUAAGGGUGAAAAUGUGGGGUAAGAGCCCACGUCGCGCUGUGGUGACACGGCGGGAGGGUAAACCUUAUGGGUUGAAAGGCCAAAUACACCGGGGCUUGAGGACUGCUCGUCCGAUCCCGGGGGGUAGGCCGUUAGAUCCCUUCGGCGACGGAGGGACCAGAUAAAUGGCAGAACGUCCGGGCCUGGCCCGGGCCGACAGAAUCCGGCUUACAGGUAUGCGGCCCUG
rnacentral:RNase_P_RNA from 1 species